rnacentral:lncRNA from 1 species
CAUCAGAAAGAAAGCCACACACUGAGCAGCUGGAAGGAGUUUGGCCACUGGUUAAAAUCCAACUGGAGAAAUCAUGAGAUCUGAGUGAGUCAUAAGAGCUUACAAAUUAUCAAAUAAGUAAAAUAUUUAACAGCAAACAAUGAGAAAAAAAUAGAGGGAUUAGCUGAAAUUCUGGGUGAAUGCAUGGAAACAACUGAAAUGGGAAGGGCUGUUUUGAGGAAAUACAGGAGAAUUUUAACUAGAUUUUGGAACAGGUACAAUUCUGAGCUUGUAGCUUAUACAGAACUAUUAUUGGAACAGAGCUUUAAUCUUGGAGUUCUGAAAAAAACGGUCAUCAUUUUGCUUACUGGAAUGUUUUUCUGGCAUCAUACUGCCAUCUGAACUGGUGAGGGCAGCAACAGUUGACUUCUCUAUUUCCAAUACCUGACAGCACAAUGCACGCUUAAAUCAUUCUUAAAUCACGAACUGCCUCGGACCUUGAGAAACACUAUGGC